AAAUUGGAAGCGCUUCAAGCAAAGGUUCGAGCUUUUUCUGCAAGCAACGGCAGUCGAGAAGGCCCCGAGAAGUGACUCCUCGAAAGUGGCACUCUUGCUGAGCUUCGCGGGAGACGAAGUGCUCGACAUCUUCAACAACUUUCAGUACGGCCCCGAAGAAAGCAAGGAAUGUUACGACACGGUCGUGCAGAAGUUCGACGCCUACUUCUCCGAGAUUUCAGGCACCUGUUCCAAGGGCUCGGCUGCUUGAAAACUCGGUACAGAAUGGUCCUGGAUCCAGACGCGGUUCCGGUCAUUC
rnacentral:misc_RNA from 1 species